rnacentral:pre_miRNA from 1 species
CUUAUACUUCCUCCGUUCGGAAUUACUCGUCGCAGAAAUGGAUGUAUCUAGACGUAUUUUAGUUCUAGAUACAUCCAUUUUCGCAACAAGUAAUUCCGAACGGAGGGAGUACAUG